rnacentral:rRNA from 1 species
UACAGAGGGGGCAAGCGUUAUUCGGAAUUAUUGGGCGUAAAGGGCGCGUAGGCGGCCAUUCAAGUGACGGGUGAAAGCCCUCGGCUUAACCGAGGAACUGCCUGUCAGACUGGAUGGCUUGAGACCGGGAGAGGUGGGUGGAAUUCCCAGUGUAGCGGUGAAAUGCGUAGAUAUUGGGAGGAACACCAGUGGCGAAGGCGGCUCACUGGACCGGAACUGACGCUGAGGCGCGAAAGCGUGGGGAGCAAACAGG